UUAAAUAGCUCUGAUGAAAAUUGUCUAAAACCUUAAGCACUCUGCAACAUUUGUAGAUAUAGCUCUGAUAAAAAUAGCUCUGAUUAAAUAGCUCUAACAUUAAAUUUAAGAAAUUGCAGAAAGUUUUCAGAAAUCUCAUUACUUGGAAAGCUCUGGUAAGAACUUCUGAACUCCCUAGCACUAACUCAGGGGGAGCUUCUGUCUAUCUGAUCUUAUUUUAUUCAUGUUUCAUCUGCUAUUUUAAG
rnacentral:lncRNA from 1 species